UUUCGCAAUACAAUUUAUUUUAUCUUUUUUAUUAGAUUAUUCAUUGAAUACUUCGUAAAAUUUAUCAUAAUAUUAAAGAAAGAAGACUAUUGCACACAUAAUCUAUUUAAUUGGAAAGAACUUUUCCCGAAAAGGUUCUUUUCUAUUAAACGUGCUGCAUAACAGUAACUAGUUACACAUUUCUUAGCUCGUUGAAUUAUUCAGAAUUACGUAUUUCGAAUCACUGUUGCAAAUGCAUAUUUCAUCAUAUUAAACGUUACAUUUCAAACAAUUAUCUAACUACGGCACUAUAACACCAUAACUCUUUUGAACAGCAAUUACACACGUUACAGUUACCUCGCCAACUGUUUUACAUUUUUUACAUAGUAUACGAGGUGCUUAUGCUUUUCUUUUUUUCUUCUCUUUCCGCAGAGCGCUACUGGUACGCACGGUAAAUCCGUUAUCCUAAAGCCAAGGUCCACGAUACACUGUGUAUAUCCGAUCGGGAGCGUGCUGCUUGUUCGAAGUUCACGCGAACGUUGGCUAUUAUCCCGCCGCGGACAGUUCCUUUUCGUCGAAGGAUCACAAUAAUUUUCUACCGUACAACUUUGAGAACAUUUAAAUCGGCCGAACCCUCCGGAACAUGUACGUGUAUCCGUAGCACUUACAUAUAUUUACAUCGAAUUAACCUCGGUCAACCUGGGUGGAAACAGGUUGCUUUCCCGUAAUAAUUAUUACACCACUCGAAUUAUAAUUAUUAAUUCCGUACACUGAUUCGAUCGUUCGUCUAAUUAAUUCCGUGCAUUAAUUGACCGCCAUGCUGACACAGAGACGCGUUCACAGAGAUCGAUUGCGUUCAAGCCAAAAAGGAUUACGAGAAGUAUCUUUAAAUUGCUCUCAGUCGUAUCAUUCGAAUUGAAUUAAAUAUACGUCUUGGAACUUUUUCAUUCGUCUUUUUCCCCUAAGAAUCUUUCUGAUUAAUGUAGAUAUCAAUUAGGCGCGUGAAUUGAGCCUCGAGAUUGUAAAUUGUUAAAUUAGCUACUGGUUUUGUGUGGCCUGAUGCGAAUAAAUGAAUUAAUCUUAUAACUGUUACUGUAAUUAAUAAUAGUUUCAAAAUAAUUUCGUUUCGCUGGUUGACGAGAUAAAAUAUAUGUUUCCUGCAUGAUUACGAUAAUGAUUUAUCAAGCGAAAUAUAGUUUGUAUCUAUGUGUAGCCGCUUAUUUCGUUUUAUAAUAUAAAUGUAGCACAAGUACAAGUAUACUUACUACGUGCUGUAUGAGGUAUAUCGAAAUUGUUAGUAUAAUAGUUGUUAGAUUGUUUAAGUUGACGUUUUAUAGUUUCACAAUGAAUUUUGGAGAAAAUUAUAAGUAACGUGUAGUUAGUAUUUCAAUUUCAAAAUAAAAUUAUAUGUAGAUAUGUAUGUACCUACGUACGUAGAUGUGCGUGCACAAUUGUUAAAUUACGCUUUAAAUAAUUGCCAUGCUACGUAUAUAUAUAAAAUUUUAUAAAAAUAAAUUUACUUUCUCUUU